GUUUGACCUCAAAUCAGGUAGGAUACCCGCUGA
rnacentral:rRNA from 1 species